rnacentral:hammerhead_ribozyme from 1 species
AUUCAGCUGACAAGUCCUAAAUAGGAUGAAACGUGAGUCCUGGAU